rnacentral:rRNA from 1 species
UACGUAGGGUGCGAGCGUUGUCCGGAAUUACUGGGCGUAAAGAGCUCGUAGGUGGUUUGUCGCGUUGUUCGUGAAAACUCACAGCUUAACUGUGGGCGUGCGGGCGAUACGGGCAGACUGGAGUACUGUAGGGGAGACUGGAAUUCCUGGUGUAGCGGUGGAAUGCGCAGAUAUCAGGAGGAACACCGGUGGCGAAGGCGGAUCUCUGGGCCAUUACUGACGCUGAGGAGCGAAAGCGUGGGGAGCGAACAGG